CCCCGGCUAGAGUGCAAUGGUGUGAUCACAGUUCACUACAACCUCCAACUCCUGGGUAGGACUAUCUCUCAUCAACAUAAAGUUACUAAGUUUCCCAUGGCUGAAAAAAAUGCUGUCAGAGCCUGAGGAGGCCCAGGCUCAAACAUCCACAUUCUGCAUCCAUAAGGGAAAAGUGAACUACACAGAACAAUUUGCCAGCAGGAUUCCUGUUUAUGGGGGCAGGAAUUGCUUGUACAAAUUUCUCAUAAGGAUUCUGACAGGAAGCUUCUCUCUACUAAGGCGAAGUAUUCCUUGUAUCGCUGAUUUUGGGCA